AGGACGAACGCUGGCGGCGUGCUUAACACAUGCAAGUCGAGCGGAAAGGCCUUUCGGGGUACUCGAGCGGCGAACGGGUGAGUAACACGUGAGUAAUCUGCCCAUCGCUUCAGGAUAGCCAUCGGAAACGGUGAUUAAUACUGGAUAUGACAUUCCUUCGCAUGUUGGGGUGUGGAAAGUUUUUUCGGCGGUGGAUGUGCUCGCGGCCUAUCAGCUUGUUGGUGGGGUAAUGGCCUACCAAGGCUUUGACGGGUAGCCGGCCUGAGAGGGUGACCGGCCACACUGGGACUGGAGACACGGCCCAGACCUCCGUACGGGAGGCAGCGAGUGGGGAAUA
rnacentral:rRNA from 1 species